rfam:Halanaerobium saccharolyticum subsp. saccharolyticum DSM 6643, type strain:DSM 6643, WGS project CATI01000000 data, contig: c12
UAUCCUUUUAAAUCAGUCCAGAGAGGCUGGCAAAGGUAUAAAUUUAGUUGAGUUCUAAAGAUAAUAUUUUUAGAAUCUGAGCUAAUUAUGUCAACUUUAACCUUCAAACCAUUCUUUCUGGUGAGAAGGUUUUAUUUUU